GGCCUUUCUCUGCUAACAGGAAAAUCAUGGUCCAAGCAUUUUUUUUUUACUUUGGCUAUAUUAAUGCAUAGCUAUAUUUAUUAAAACACAUAAUAUAAAACCUGUUACUUAAGGAGUCAAGCUUAAUCAAUAUUUAGAAUCAUAAUCAUUUCAUAAAUUCGGUCUAAAGGCCACUAAAAACAGUCCUCUGUUAUGUCCUAAUUCCGGAUCGAGUAUGAGUCGGUUCGGUUUUUCUAAGUUCUAUUUAAAAAAGUAAAUCUUUGAACACUAUAAAAACAUAAAGAAUAUUUGAUGCAUGUGAACAAAAAACAAUUAUUAUUCUAGAUAAUUUUUUAGUACUAAAAACUAGUGUUCGAAUUUUGUCCAGACAUUUUUUGAACAGUCCUGUGUCAUAAUUUGAAUGUCGCGCCACAAAAAUAUUAAAGACAAUUCUGGUUACAUUGCCCUUGAAACCGAACGAUAACAGUGUGAAGUUUGCUCGGUCGCCAUGCUAAACAAAUCGCCGCCAUUUUGCGCAGUGACAACUCCGCGUCAGUAUGGUAGCCACGUCUCUGUAGUGUUGAGUGAACAUUCCUCUGUAUUGACGCAAUGCCACCAAAGAAGAAACCUAAAACCAAAGAAGAAAUAAAAAAGCAGAAAAGAAUUGCUGAAAGGUUAAGAUAUCAACGGCUAAAAAAUGACCCUGUAAAAAGAGAGCAAUUGAAGGAAAAAGAACGACGAAACUACCAAAGGAAGAAGGAAAAAGGCACAAGAAAGCUAGUUAAAGAUAUGAGUCGACGUGAACACAAAGCUGUGACUAAAGAGUGGAGAGAGCACUGUGCUACCUAUCGCUCAAAAAAAAAAGCUUUGAAAGAAAUUACAAACAAUUUUGUACGACAAAAUACGCCCGAAACCGAGGGUUCUCCUCCUACUCAAUGUUCUGUCUCUCCAUCAAUACUACCUAUGAGUCCUAUGACCACUCCACGAAGUGAUGCAAGUAAUGCGAGAAAGAAACGUGACAAAAUUAUAAAGGAUAAAGACAAAAAGAUCGAGUAUUACAAAAAAAAAUCCGAGAAGUAUAGGAAGAGAUUAGAACGUAUGGAAAAAGCUAAGACAAAGGAAAAUGUAGACACACCUAACACUAAACUUAUCAAAAUGUGUGAUUCGCCAGUAA